UGUUGGCCACCUGGCUGAUUAAAACGUGAACUGGAUGACGUCACGAUCAGCUGUCCCCUUUAUAUAGUGUUAUGUUUAUUAUUUUGGGGAAUUAUAUGUAAAUUGUUUUUGGUAAUAUAAUUUGCCCAGUUGUAAUUAUUUGGUUUAUUGUGUUUGAUUUGGUUAUUUUCUUUGAUGCCAAGGCUGGUGACCUGGGUGGAGGUGUCCGUUUUCUCUCCGUGCUGUGUCCCCUGGGAUUUGGCCUAAGAGCCGGGCAACAUCAUCCAAAGGUUCAUACGCAGAUGAUCUCUGCCUGGCAAUUCAGGCAAAAAGCUUUGAAACCAAAGAGAAGCACCUUGCAGAUGCCCUGAAGAUCCUAUCGGGGUACUACAGUAGAUCCUGGUUCCUAAACGCCAACCCAGGGAAGACCCAGGUCUGUGCAUUCCACCUGACCAGCCCUGUACACACUGGCAGGCAUCUGUCCACCUGGCAUCUGGACAAACAGCUGAGUGACCCCAGACACUCACUACACGGACACAGGGAGGCCCCCCGACGACUAUGAUCCCGUCGCAGCUUUAUGACGGUCCUAGGCCUCGAGGGGAUGACACCAAAGACCCUUUAAGAUUGAACUAUGGAAGGGGAGUGACCCAAACAACAACAGGGCACUCCCACCCCCCAGUGAGUCUCUGCCCCCACGGGCCGACAUAUCCCAGCUAAAAACCCCUCAUGAGAAUGAUUAUAAAUUAAAGACUAUGACCUGGAUGACUGAGAACCUCCACAGACAUGAAGAGCAGAAGUGACUCUUUGACUGUUGCCCACAAACAUUAGUAAAGAUGAGAUCUGCGACUUGUUUCUGAAACAAUCUGUGGAAAUCCUACUCGCAUCCAGAUAGCCAU